rnacentral:sRNA from 1 species
AGAACUAUUUGCAGUCAAACCUACCCAACCCAUCCAGGAGCUGCUACACAUUGAGGAAGGGGCAGAAUGAAUGCUGGGAAGCAACUACAACGAACACUGCACAAUAUGGUUUCUAGUUUUAGGGUUUCUGAACUACAAGUAUUACUAGGCUUUGCUGGACGGAAUAAAAGUGGACGCAAGCAUGACCUCCUGAUGAGGGCGCUGCAUUUAUUGAAGAGUGGCUGCAGCCCUGCGGUUCAGAUUAAAAUCCGAGAAUUGUAUAGACGCCGAUAUCCACGAACUCUUGAAGGACUUUCUGAUUUAUCCACAAUCAAAUCAUCGGUUUUCAGUUUGGAUGGUAGCUCAUCACCUGUAGAACCUGACUUGGCCGUGGCUGGAAUCCACUCGUUGCCUUCCACUUCAGUUACACCUCACUCACCAUCCUCUCCUGUUGGUUCUGUGCUGCUUCAAGAUACUAAGCCCACAUUUGAGAUGCAGCAACCAUCUCCCCCAAUUCCUCCUGUCCAUCCUGAUGUGCAGUUAAAAAAUCUGCCCUUUUAUGAUGUCCUUGAUGUUCUCAUCAAGCCCACGAGUUUAGUUCAAAGCAGUAUUCAGCGAUUUCAAGAGAAGUUUUUUAUUUUUGCUUUGACACCUCAACAAGUUAGAGAGAUAUGCAUAUCCAGGGAUUUUUUGCCAGGUGGUAGGAGAGAUUAUACAGUCCAAGUUCAGUUGAGACUUUGCCUGGCAGAGACAAGUUGCCCUCAAGAAGAUAACUAUCCAAAUAGUCUAUGUAUAAAAGUAAAUGGGAAGCUAUUUCCUUUACCUGGCUAUGCACCACCGCCUAAAAAUGGGAUUGAACAGAAGCGCCCCGGACGCCCCUUGAAUAUUACAUCUUUAGUUAGGUUAUCUUCAGCUGUGCCAAACCAAAUUUCCAUUUCUUGGGCAUCAGAAAUUGGGAAGAAUUACUCUAUGUCUGUAUAUCUUGUACGGCAGCUUACAUCAGCCAUGUUAUUACAGAGAUUAAAAAUGAAAGGUAUUAGAAACCCUGAUCAUUCCAGAGCACUAAUUAAAGAAAAACUUACCGCAGAUCCUGAUAGUGAAAUUGCUACAACUAGCCUUCGGGUAUCCUUGAUGUGCCCUUUAGGAAAAAUGAGGCUGACAAUCCCAUGCCGUGCAGUGACUUGUACACAUCUACAGUGUUUUGAUGCUGCCCUUUAUCUACAAAUGAAUGAGAAGAAGCCCACCUGGAUUUGUCCUGUGUGUGACAAAAAAGCUGCCUAUGAAAGUCUAAUAUUAGAUGGGUAAGUAUAUCCCUUUUAACAGCUAAUAUGGACUAAUACAGCUUUGUUCACUACAACUUACUGAACUGAAUUCUGAAUAAAUUCUACUCUAGCAUAAA